rnacentral:rRNA from 1 species
UACGUAGGGUGCGAGCGUUGUCCGGAAUUAUUGGGCGUAAAGGGCGCGUAGGCGGCUGUACAAGUCAAAGGUGAAAUCCCUCGGCUCAACUGAGGAACUGCCUUUGAAACUGUACGGCUUGAGGCCGGGAGGGGGUAGCGGAAUUCCCAGUGUAGCGGUGAAAUGCGUAGAUACUGGGAGGAACACCAGUGGCGAAGGCGGCUACCUGGACCGGUUCUGACGCUGAGGCGCGAAAGCGUGGGUAGCAAACAGG